AACAGGAGGUUAAAGGUGCUGAUUCUCCAAGGAGGGAGAUUGCUAGUAAAGCGGCUGGAAUGGCGAACCCGAGCACAAGGAGAUGAGAAAUGAGGACAAAUUGCCACCUGUACGGAACAGGAGGUUAAAGGUGCUGAUUCUCCAAGGAGGGAGAUUGCUAGUAAAGCGGCUGGAAUGGCGAACCCGAGCACAAGGAGAUGAGAAAUGAGGACAAAUUGCAACCUGUACGGAACAGGAGGUUAAAGGUGCUGAUUCUCCAAGGAGGGAGAUUGCUAGUAAAGCGGCUGGAAUGGCGACCCCGAGCACAAGGAGAUGAGAAAUGAGGACAAAUUGCCACCUGUACGGAACAGGAGGUUAAAGGUGCUGAUUCUCCAAGGAGGGAGAUUGCUAGUAAAGCGGCUGGAAUGGCGAACCCGAGCACAAGGAGAUGAGAAAUGAGGACAAAUUACAACCUGUACGGAACAGGAGGUUAAAGGUGCUGAUUCUCCAAGGAGGGAGAUUGCUAGUAAAGCGGCUGGAAUGGCGAACCCGAGCACAAGGAGAUGAGAAAUGAGGACAAAUUGCCACCUGUACGGAACAGGAGGUUAAAGGUGCUGAUUCUCCAAGGAGGGAGAUUGCUAGUAAAGCGGCUGGAAUGGCGAACCCGAGCACAAGGAGAUGAGAAAUGAGGACAAAUUGCAACCUGUACGGAACAGGAGGUUAAAGGUGCUGAUUCUCCAAGGAGGGAGAUUGCUAGUAAAGCGGCUGGAAUGGCGACCCCGAGCACAAGGAGAUGAGAAAUGAGGACAAAUUGCCACCUGUACAGAACAGGAGGUUAAAGGUGCUGAUUCUCCAAGGAGGGAGAUUGCUAGUAAAGCGGCUGGAAUGGCGAACCCGAGCACAAGGAGAUGAGAAAUGAGGACAAAUUGCAACCUGUACGGAACAGGAGGUUAAAGGUGCUGAUUCUCCAAGGAGGGAGAUUGCUAGUAAAGCGGCUGGAAUGGCGACCCCGAGCACAAGGAGAUGAGAAAUGAGGACAAAUUGCCACCUGUACGGAACAGGAGGUUAAAGGUGCUGAUUCUCCAAGGAGGGAGAUUGCUAGUAAAGCGGCUGGAAUGGCGAACCCGAGCACAAGGAGAUGAGAAAUGAG